GAUGAACGCUGGCGGCGUGCCUAAUACAUGCAAGUCGAGCGAACAGACGAGGAGCUUGCUCCUCUGACGUUAGCGGCGGACGGGUGAGUAACACGUGGAUAACCUACCUAUAAGACUGGGAUAACUUCGGGAAACCGGAGCUAAUACCGGAUAAUAUAUUGAACCGCAUGGUUCAAUAGUGAAAGACGGUUUUGCUGUCACUUAUAGAUGGAUCCGCGCCGCAUUAGCUAGUUGGUAAGGUAACGGCUUACCAAGGCAACGAUGCGUAGCCGACCUGAGAGGGGGACGGCCACCCCGGGAAAUAAGAACGGUCCCAAACCCCGAGGGGAGGCAGGGGGAGGAAACUUUCCGCAAGGGGCGAAAGCCUGACGGGCAAACGCGGCGGGAGUGAUAAAGUGUUUGGGUCCGUAAAACCUUUUUUUUGGGGAAAAAAAAAUGUGGAAGUAACUUGCCCAGUUUGGACGGAACCUAAGAAGAAACCCCCGGCUAACUAGGG
rnacentral:rRNA from 1 species